UACGUAGGGUGCGAGCGUUGUCCGGAUUUAUUGGGCGUAAAGAGCUUGUAGGCGGCUCGUCACGUCGGGUGUGAAAACUCGCGGCUCAACCGCGAGCCUGCACCCGAUACGGGCGGGCUAGAGUUCGGCAGGGGAGACUGGAAUUCACGGUGUAGCAGUGAAAUGCGUAGAUAUCGUGAGGAAGACCAGUGGCGAAGGCGGGUCUCUGGACAGUUCCUGACACUGAGGCACGAAGGCUAGGGGAGCAAACGGG
rnacentral:rRNA from 1 species